CCGCCAUUUUAUUUGUUCCAUUUAAUUUCUCCACAACAAAAACCGCAUGAAAACUUGUUUCAACAGGCAUUUACAACAAGAAUGGAUGGUGGUAAUUAUCAUGGGCCUUUCUAUCAAGAAAUAGGUGUGAAAGACAUUCAUUUAAUGGAACCUGGAAAUCAACCACCUCAGCUAAGAGAAAAUAUUUUAACAAUAGGUGUUGUUUUAGAACUUGUGAAAUCGGCUAAUAAGCAGAAAUUGAAGUCAUCCAAAGUAGUGUGAAUGGGUGUGUGCAAUUAAGUCAAACUUGAUUGGAUGUCACCCUAACUUUUCAAGAACACGGAUUUGUAGAGCGGUGCAGGCUAAAAAACAGUUUGACAAAAAGAA